rnacentral:lncRNA from 10 species
GAGAUUUUAGAACACAAACAUAGAUACAUGUGGAUAGCAGCCAAUACAGAGAGAGGGAGAGAGAAAAAGGAGGGAUCAGAAGCUAUAUUUGUAACUUUUGAUUAGUGAACUACAGAAGGAAGCCUAACACUGCAGGACCAUGACCUUCACAUCUACUUUAGUGGCCCCUCUGGGUCAGAGAUGGAUGAAAUGGAAAUGCAUUUCUCUGAGCCCAGGAAUUGAGUUUCUGAAAUCUGAAUCACUGGGGUGCCUGAAACUCUGCUGUCUAAUGGAUGAAUGGGUCGAAAAUGUGAAGAUAUGAUUACCAUGAAUCCUUUGUACAAGGAAGCUGAAAAUCUACUUUCUCAGAUGCCCUUGCAGUGAAGAAUGGGAAAUAGACAUGAUUCCAGUCAAAGGAAC